GCAAACUUGGUCAUUUAGAGGAAGUAAAAGUCGUAACAAGGUAUCUGUAGGUGAACCUGCAGAUGGAUCAUUUCGAUGAAAACCUUUUUUCUUGAGGUGUGGCUCGCACCUGUCUAACUAAAUCGAGCUACCACAUUUUAACACGGUUGCAUCGGUUGGCUGUCAAACAGUGCGCGCGGCGAUUUAUUUCGCCUCCCCGCGCAUUGCCGAGACGGUCGACAUUUACCAAAAACACUGUUGAUACCAUAGGAUUUGAACGUAGAUGAAACUCGACUGGUAAUGCGGUCGUCUAAAAUCUAAAAACAACUUUUGGCAACGGAUCUCUUGGUUCUCCCAUCGAUGAAGAACGCAGC
rnacentral:misc_RNA from 1 species